rnacentral:rRNA from 1 species
CCUAAGGUAGCGAAAUUCCUUGUCAGGUAAGUUCUGACCCGCACGAAAGGUGUAAUGAUCUGGAUACUGUCUCAACCAUAGGCUCGGUGAAAUUUUAAUACCUGUGAAAAUGCAGGUUACCCGCGACAGGACGGAAAGACCCCAUGGAGCUUUACUGUAGCUUGAUAUUGAAAUUUGAUAUUCUUUGUAGAGGAUAGGUGGUAGACUUUGAUACUAGGACGCCAGUUCUAGUGGAGUCGCCCUUGGAAUACCACCCUUGGAAUAUUAGAUUUCUAACCUAGAACCGUGAUCCGGUUCGGGGACAGUGUCUGGUGGGCAGUUUGACUGGGGCGGUCGCCUCCCAAAUAGUAACGGAGGCGCCCAAAGGUUACCUCAGAAUGGUUGGAAAUCAUUCGCAGAGUGUAAAGGUAUAUAGGUAGCUUAACUGCGAGACUUACAAGUCAAGCAGAUACGAAAGUAGGGCUUAGUGAUCAGGCGAUUCAGUAUGGAAUGGUCGUCGCUUAACGGAUAAAAGUUACCCUGGGGAUAACAGGCUGAUAGCGCCCAAUAGUUCACAUAGACGGCGCUGUUUGGCACCUCGAUGUCGGCUCGUCACAUCCUGGAGGUGGAUUCGCUUCCAAGGGUUGGGCUGUUCGCCCAUUAAAGUGGCACGCGAGCUGGGUUCAGAACGUCGUGAGACAGUUCGGUCCCUAUCCGUCGUGGGCGUAGGAAAAUUGAGAGGAGUUGUUCUUAGUACGAGAGGACCAGAAUGAACAUACCUCUGGUGUAUCUGUUGUCACGCCAGUGGCAGUGCAGAGUAGCUAUGUAUGGAAAGGAUAAACGCUGAAAGCAUCUAAGCGUGAAGCCUCCCUCAAGAUGAGUUUUCCCAUUGUUUACAAGUAAGAUCCCAGAAAGACUAUCUGGUUGAUAGGUCAGAGGUGGAAGCAUAGUGAUAUGUUGAGCUGACUGAUACUAAUAGAUCGAGGAUUUAACCC